rnacentral:tRNA from 1 species
GGGAAAGGGAGGGAUUC